GACAUAGGUGGCGAACGUUAUCCGGAAUUAUUGGGCGUAAAGGGCGCGUAGGCGGCAUGGCAAGUGGAAGGUGAAAUCCCUCGGCUUAACCGAGGAACUGCCCUCCAAACUGCUUUGCUUGAGGCCGGGAGAGGUGAGUGGAAUUCCCAGUGUAGCGGUGAAAUGCGUAGAUAUCAGGAGGAACACCGAUUGCGAAGGCAGCUCGCUGGGACGUUACUGACGCUGAGACGCGAAAGCGUGGGGGAGCAAACAGG
rnacentral:rRNA from 1 species